rnacentral:rRNA from 1 species
UACAGAGGAGCCAAGCGUUGUCCGGAUUGACUGGGCGUAAAGCGCACGCAGGCGGAUGCGCGCGUGGGGUGUGAAAUCUGGCCGCUUAACGGCCAGGCGCCAUCCCAUACGGCGCGUCUGGAGUGAUGCAGAGGUCGAUGGAAUUGCCGGUGUAGUGGUGAAAUGCGUAGAGAUAGGCAGGAACACCCAGGGGGAAACCAGUCGACUGGGCAUCUACUGACGCUGAGGUGCGAGAGCGUGGGGAGCGAUCCGG